UGAAGUUCCAAAACUAGAUAGAGAGUGAUAUAGGGUGAGAAAGUUGAAGGCACGGAAGAUCAAGACAUCGUCUUCAACGUCGACUCUCUCUUUUUCUUGAUAUGUAUUGUAAGCCACAAUCUUUGAAGACCUUGUAGGCGGUAGCUUAAAUGCCUUAGAGCUGGGGAACACCAUCUUUGUGUUAGUAACAAAAUAUACUUCUCUGAAACAAACUAUAUUAACCGUAUCAUAAAUAAAUAAUGUAGACAAAAUAUACUUCUUUGAAACAAACUAUUAAUUGUUUCAUAUGUGUUCUU
rnacentral:lncRNA from 1 species